CUAAUUGUUUACAGACGCUAUUUCUGCCUCCACCCAGCGUUGCCCACAGUCGAGGCUCAGCCCUGGCACGGUCCCAUCGGUCCAGGGUGGUGGCUCGCCGAGGGCCCGUCUAGGCAGAGGGUGUGGGCAGCGGCACAGCCACGCUUCCUUUCUUGUGUUUCUGUCACCUCGUUUGUUUCAGCUCCGCGGACACGUAAUCACGGCUGGGCCUCCCUGCCGUUUGCUCGCGAUUCGAAGGCUCCUCGUGGACCCUCUCUGCUUAGGCCUUGGCACGGCCGCCCCGAAGCCGGAAGGCUGCUGUGGUUACCCAGCCUUGGCGCCCCGUCCAGAGCUUAUAAAGAGGCGGCGGCUGACACACCAACCCGCACGCCAUCCAGCUGCGGCUGGCUUUGCCCGGAACAGGCCAGAAAACGGAGGCCAGGGGCCACCCAGCCUGGCAUCUCUGUGGUUGAGCUGAAGGAGGCCCUUUGCAAAGCUUGGUGAGAAGCCUGGAGUCGGCACCAGAGACAGACGUCGAGAGAAUGAAUCCAGCCGGAGAUCGUGCGGGCCGAGGUCCCUGACUCACCACUCCGCGCUGGUGAAUGGGCUCAGACAUGACUGCUGCGUCACAUGACAUCUGUCUGUCACACUGCAAAUCCGUCCCCAGCUCUAGACUUGUUGAUCUCCAGCCUCUCAAGACUUCCCCAGCCCCUCACUCUGCUGGGUGGUUAGUCCUCUGUGAGGGAAUCGAGUUUUCUGGGGCUGCGUCCAGGGCUACCAAGAAGCCAGCCUUGAUCUGGAGAAACCAGCCAGCGGCAACCAGCAAGAAAAGCUCCGUCGGAUGUUUGGGUGGCUUUUCCUUUCUGGGGGGUUGUUUUGUUUGUUUGUUUUUUUUCUUAAACAAGCUUUAAGAAACCAGUCAUAAGGCAGAAAAUCUGGGGCUUAGAUCUUUCUGCCUCGUUCUAACAUUCCUGCAGAAUCCAGAUGAAUCGUUCCCUUUUACAUAACAUGGGCCACAAGGCCACGCUUCCUUUGUUAUCAGAGUGUUGUCAGCGUCAUCCGC
rnacentral:lncRNA from 1 species